GACGAACGCUGGCGGCGUGCUUAACACAUGCAAGUCGAACGGAAAGGCCCUGCUUUUGUGGGGUGCUCGAGUGGCGAACGGGUGAGUAACACGUGAGUAACCUGCCCUUGACUUUGGGAUAACUUCAGGAAACUGGGGCUCAUACCGGAUAGGAGCUCUUGCUGCAUGGUGGGGGUUGGUAAGUUUCGGCGGUUGGGGAUGGACUCGCGGCUUAUCAGCUUGUUGGUGGGGUAGUGGCUUACCAAGGCUUUGACGGAUAGCCGGCCUGAGAGGGUGACCGGCCACAAGGGGACUGAGAUACGGCCCAGACUCGUACGGGAGGCAGCAGUGGAGAAUAUUGCACAAUGGGCGGAAGCCUGAUGCAGCAACGCCGCGUGCGGGAUGACGGCCUUCGGGUUGUGAACCGCUUUCGCCUGAGACGAAGCGGGAGUGACGGUAAUGAGUAAAGAAGCACCGGCUAACUACGUG
rnacentral:rRNA from 1 species